CGAAUUAAUUAGUAGGGCAGUUCUGUUUUUCACUUAAUCCCUACAGAAAGAGAAAAUAGAAUAACAUGCGAACGGUUUGCCCGCAUUUCAACUCUCGCAUUUUGUGUUCAAAUCCGCCGGUUAAAAUACGAGACGCUUGAAUAAAAGCUGACGAAUUGUUGCACCAGCUGGUUGGUAUGACGUAGAACAUCACGUGGUUGGCAUGCUCUCGCCGCGUGAUAUGAAUAAAUGAAACUUAUUUAUCCUCGUGUGAAAGGGAAACGACAUUGGUUUUAAUACGGUCGUUCUGUUUCAGGCUUACAAGUUACCACCUAUCUAACUUUGUGGGUGUAAAAUGAUGUCAUAUAAUCCCGCAUACGUACAGGUGAUUAUACGAUAACAAAUUGGAAAGAAAGGUCGGCACUAGUGAAAAAUCUUCCAGUACGUUACAGAUUAGGCUGAUGGAAAGUGUUAGAGGGACGAUGAAAAAGAACAACACGUCCCAUUUUACCCUAACCUAUUGAACCAUCUUACCCCAACCUACUAAAUUUACCUCACUGGCUGAAUAUUGGUAUUUCGGCCAAUCACCAUACGCAUCAUUCACCCCGUUCGAAGGUACGCCAUUAUGUGCAAAAUUGCCCCAAAACGCUUGGAAGAUGCUGCUUGCUAUGGUGUCGUUGUCGACGGAAUUUCGACUCGAAUCUUUGGACUACACUCAGUCGCUGUAACCACAGUCCUAUGGUGCCAAACAUUUUAAUUAAAACCUACCCGAAGCUCGGACCGGAUCCGAACACGAACACGACCUCGGAUCCAUGGAACGAAGUCCCGCAAACUCCAUCUAAGUUUUGUCGUACAGCAUAACAACCAGGGCCACCAUUAGGGUACGAGUUGUCGUAUAAGUAGAUUUCCUUUCCCCUGCUACUGUUUGAAGCAAACCUGAAAAAAAAAUAUUGAACAAGUGAAAAAAUCCCGCACUUACAAAGUCAAAUACGUGGUAAAUCGGAAACGGGUACGAGGUGUAUGAACACCCGUGUUUUAUAACGACUGUCGUUAAUUUCCCGCCAUGCGAGGAUAAAUAUGUUAUACUUUCAUUAGUAUGAAGCAAGAUAUAUACUGUUCGCACAUAAACCACAUACAGUAUUUCCUAAUCGUGUUUUAACAAUUAACAACGCUCUUUUAGAGUCGUAAAAUCUACGGUUGUAUAAUUAUGUAAAUAUUCUUUAUUUUAUAAUAAACGAGAAUAAAACAUAGACCAUGUUAC